CCCUUAGAUGUUCUGGGCCGCACGCGCGCUACACUGACGAAUGCAACGAGCUUAUAACCUUGGCCGAAAGGUCUGGGUAAUCUCCAAAUUUCGUCGUGAUGGGGAUAGAUUAUUGCAAUUAUUAAUCUUCAACGAGGAAUGCCUAGUAAGCGCAAGUCAUCAGCUUGCGUUGAUUACGUCCCUGCCCUUUGUACACACCGCCCGUCGCUCCUACCGAUUGAAUGGUCCGGUGAAGCGUUCGGACCGUGGCUUUUGGACGGUUCGCCGUCUGUUGGCUGCGGGAAGUUCGUUAAACCUUAUCAUUUAGAGGAAGGAGAAGUCGUAACA
rnacentral:rRNA from 1 species